GACGAACGCUGGCGGCGUGCUUAACACAUGCAAGUCGAACGAAGUGGCGAACGGGUGAGUAACGCGUAAUCAACCUGCCCUUCAGAGGGGGACAACAGUUGGAAACGACUGCUAAUACCGCAUACUGAAGGAGGGGAUUGCGGCUGAUUAGCUAGUUGGGGGGGGAACGGCCUACCAAGGCGAUGAUCAGUAGCCGGGCGGAGAGGAUGAACGGCCACAUUGGGAAUGGGACACGGGCCAGACUCCUACGGGAGGCAGCAGGGGGGAAUCUUCCGAAAUGGAGGAAAGUCUGACGGAGCAACGCCGCGUGGGGGAUGACGGCCUUCGGGUUGUAAAGCUCUGUUAAUCGGGACGCGGUACCGGAAUAGAAAGCCACGGCUAACUACGUGCCAGCAGCCGCGGUAAUUC
rnacentral:rRNA from 1 species